ACACAGCUACAUUACAUUACUACAUACACACAGCUACAUUACUACAUACACACAGCUACAUUACUACAUACACACAGCUACAUUACUACAUACACACAGCUACAUUAUAUUACUACAUACACACAGCUACAUUAUAUUACUACAUACACACAGCUACAUUAUAUUACUACAUACACACAGCUACAUUACUACAUACACACAGCUACAUUACUACAUACACACAGCUACAUUACUACAUACACACUGCUACAUUACUACAUACACACAGCUACAUUACAUUACUACAUACACACAGCUACAUUAUAUUACUACAUACACACAGCUACAUUACUACAUACACACAGCUACAUUACUACAUACACACAGCUACAUUACUACAUACACACCGCUACAUUACUACAUACACACAGCUACAUUACUACAUACACACAGCUACAUUACAUUACUACAUACACACAGCUACAUUACUACAUACACACAGCUACAUUACUACAUACACACAGCUACAUUACAUUACUACAUACACACAGCUACAUUACAUUACUACAUACACACAGCUACAUUACUACAUACACACAGCUACAUUACUACAUACACACAGCUACAUUACAUUACUACAUACACACAGCUACAUUACAUUACUACAUACACACAGAUACAGUACCUAUCAAAAAUUUGGACACCUACUCAUUCUGGGGUUUUUCUUUAUUUUUACUAUUUUCUACAUUUUAGAUUAAUAGUGAAGAUGUCAAAACUAUGAAAUAACACAUACGGAAACAUAAAGGUGUUAAACAAAUCAAUAUACAUUUUUUUAUUUGAGAUUCUUCAAAGCAGCAUUUGCCUUGAUGACUACUUUUCACACUCUUGGCAUUCUCUCAACCAGCUUCAAGAGGUAGCUACCUGGAAUGCGUUUCAGUUAACAGGUGUGCCUUGUUUAAAGUUAAUUUGUGGAAUUUCUUACCUUUUUAGUUAUUACAUGAUUCCAUAUGUGUUAUUUCCUGAUUUUGAUGUCUUCACUAUUAUUCUACAAUGUAAAAAUAAAGGAAAACCAUUGAAUGAGUAAGUGUGUCCAAACUUUUGACUGGUACUGUACAUUACAUUACAUUACUACAUACACACAGCUACAUUACUACAUACACACCGCUACAUUACUACAUACACACCGCUACAUUACUACAUACACACCGCUACAUUACUACAUACACACAGCUACAUUACAUUACUACAUACACACAGCUACAUUAUAUUACUACAUACACACAGCUACAUUACUACAUACACACAGCUACAUUACUACAUACACACCGCUACAUUACUACAUACACACCGCUACAUUACUACAUACACACAGCUACAUUACUACAUACACACAGCUACAUUACUACAUACACACAGCUACAUUACUACAUACACACAGCUACAUUACUACAUACACACAGCUACAUUACAUUACUACAUACACACAGCUACAUUACUACAUACACACAGCUACAUUACAUUACUACAUACACACAGCUACAUUACUACAUACACACAGCUACAUUACUACAUACAAACAGCUACAUUACUACAUACACACAGCUACAUUACUACAUACACACAGCUACAUUACUACAUACACACAGCUACAUUACUACAUACACACAGCUACAUUACUACAUACACACAGAUAACUUAUUAUGAUUGUGUUCAAGACAAGAGAGAACGCUUUGAGAAGAAAAAACCCCACAAAAAUAUUAAACUAAGUUUCAAGGACCAAUCUCUUGUUUUAUGUUCUAAUACCGGUUCCAAACGGUUCCAGAUUAUUUUAGUAGCACCUUGUAAAGGGUUCUCCGUGUCCGUAAUGUAAUUUAUUCAUGUUGUUCGCUAUUUUAUACUUGUACAAUUCAUAAGAGUUUUGUUUUUUGAUAUUUUGUCAGCCUGUGAAUUAAAUACCCCCUACUUAGUCCCACCACGUUGUCCAUGUCGUCACUGUGCCUUCAGUUAAAUAAUGUUUUGUUUGUUUGUUUUUGUCAUUAUGUUUUCACAACUCACUCUGUCAUCACGGUCGUCAUCAGUCAAGACGUUACAUAUAUGAUUAUAAUUAUUAUGAAUUAUCAUCCAUGUUGAAAAACCAUCAUGCAAUCGAUUUGAUUUUGAUAUAAAACGUCAUUAUUAAAAACAUUUUUCCGUAAGGUUUGUUAAUGUACUGUUUGAUAGCAGUGUAUCAGAUAAUGAGAACAACGGAACUCUUUCAGGUUUUAUUUGAACAUGAAUACAGUACAUGUAUUGCUUUGUCGUGGUUUAUUUUUGUAUGUCCAACCUAUUAAAUGGAUACACUGG
ensembl:lncRNA